AAGAAAAUAGAACAGGGCGUUACAUGGGUUAAUGUUAACCCCGUCUCCAGCACACCACCUCAGCCCGGAUCCAGCCUCAGCAGUCCGACGGAGACUUUCCCCUUCCUUCCCUUCUUCUCCCAUUUGGGAAAAAACAAACAAACAAACAUGUGAACAAUACAACUGAGACAAGCACUCUUUCUGAGGCUCUCAGCUUCAUGCGGUGGAGAUGUGCAUCCGAGCUUCGCCCAAAAAUCUAACACCCGGUUCAGAUCUGAUCAGAUCACAUCGACAUGAGCGAAAAAACGCGUUUGCGUCUUUAAAAUGAAGAAGAAGAAACUCCAGGGGACUGAUCCGAGGUCGCUCAGCCGAAAGGAGAGGAGGUGGGAAAAAUGGGGGAAACGCGGUGGAUCUGGAAGCUGUUUCAUACAGUCUCAACUGAUAGACAGACGCAUCGAGUGGCUUUUCCUGCUACAGAUUUUACUCCUCCCCUCUCCGCAAGCGUCACCCCUGACAGAGGAGCCUACCUGUCAAUCUUUUUAAUUGUCCUGCUUUCUCUUUCUCUCUCUCUCUCUCUCCGACCCCCCCCCCCCCCCCCCCCCCCCACCACCCUCACCCCCACACACACACUUGCUUUAAAAAUAUCAAACCUCCUUUAUGGGAAAAAAAAAAAUUGAUAUUCUUUCAAACCCACUCUUACACGGUGCAGGGGCACAUCCACAAAGUUUUCAAAAGGGGCAGCCGGACUGGGGAGGCACCCGAAAACCAUCUCAGGAGUUUUAUUAUGCUGCUGCAGUAUGGUAGGGGAGGAUCAACGGUAAUGCACCUGUGCCAUUUUCUGCAACUCAUUGACACUUUUCUCUUCCAUAAAUUACUGUCAUUUUGUUCUGCAGUUAUCAUCUGACUUUUAUUGUUUUUAAGAGUUUUUUUGUUUUGGAUUUUUGUUUUUUUCAAACCCAGCAAGUUCCUUCCCAGGACAUUUUGGACUAAUGAAUCCUUAUCUGUCUGCAGGGGCAUCGCUGGGACAUUUUGAUAGGGGGCAGUGAGAUGGGGGUGCCCACUGAUAAUCUUGAUGUGGCACCCCUUAAAUUUAAAAGCAGUAAUACAGUCUAGAUUAAGUUGUAGUGUGCCGUCAUGAUAUGUAUGCAGCAGAAUUGAGCGAACAAAGGGGAACCCUCCAGAGUAGUGAGUGCUAUAAAGGACAAAAAUUAAGCAUAAAUAAAUAAAUAUUGCAACUA